GGUCAGGAUAGCUCAGUUGGUAGAGCAGAGGACUGAAAAUCCUCGUG
rnacentral:tRNA from 2 species